rnacentral:rRNA from 1 species
UACGUAGGGGGCAAGCGUUGUCCGGAAUCAUUGGGCGUAAAGCGCGUGUAGGCGGCCCGGUAAGUCCGCUGUGAAAGUCCAGGGCUCAACCCUGGGAUGCCGGUGGAUACUGUCGGGCUCGAGUCCGGAAGAGGAGUGGUGGAAUUCCGUGGUGUAGCGGUGAAAUGCGCAGAUAUCAGGAGGAACACCAAUGGCGAAGGCAGCACUCUGGGACGGUACUGACGGCUGAGACGCGAAAGCGUGGGAGCAAACAGGAU